rnacentral:rRNA from 1 species
UACAGAGGGUGCGAGCGUUAAUCGGAAUUACUGGGCGUAAAGCGUGCGUAGACGGCUAUCUAAGUCGGGUGUGAAAGCCCCGGGCUCAACCUGGGAAUUGCAUUCGAGACUGAAUAGCUAGGGUACGGUAGAGGGAAGCGGAAUUUCCGGUGCAGCGGUGAAAUGCGUAGAUAUCGGAAGGAACAUCAGUGGCGAAAGCGGCUUCCUGGACCAGUACCGACGUUCAGGCACGAAAGCGUGGGGAGCAAACAGG